GUUCCCGUAGCUCAGCUGGAUAGAGCACUGGUUUCCUAAACCGGGGGUCGCGUGUUCGAGUCACGCCGGGAACG
rnacentral:tRNA from 2 species